GGCAGUAAUAACAAAGUCAUUUUUGACAUUUAGUAUAUAUUUGAAUACUUACAAUUAUUCCACCUUUGAGAUGAUUGUAUGCUACAUUAUACUAUACGCUUGAAAUGUUAUCUUUAGUUGAUUCGUUCUUGGUCUAACGGUCAUCACAAAUCGCCACAAGCAUUUCUGAGGCCUGAAGGGCACCACGUCAUCUGCCUGAUGUCAGAUGCAUGUCCAUCAAAAUAUGGGGACAUAGCACCGGAAUCUAUGGUGCCUCUGUUGUUUUUAUCAUAUGUUUGCCAGUAUAUCCCUUGACUAUUCCACACGUCAUUCCCAUGACAAUGAAGGUCAUCAAAGUAUUCUCCGAAAUCCGUGUAGGCAUUGGUGACACCGGGGUCUUCACCGUUGGUGCAGAGACUGAUAUCUAUACCAUCGUUACCGUUAAAGUACUCAUCAUAGAAUUCACUACGUUUCUCCAGCUCGCGCGUGGGUUCGAUUGAAGCAGUGAAACCAUACUGACUGAACUGGUGAAAGCCGUAGUGCAAUACUGUGCUAUUCAACAAUGCCGUAACUACCAACGUUGUUAAAGAUCCAUCACGUUUGAUUAGCUGAUUGUUCGGGACCGUCACAUUAAGAAGUCUGUUACUUUGUGCUUCUGUCAUUUCUGAAUGAUUAAUAUAGUCUAUUCCCAGUAGACCUAUGCCUUGUGUGUCCAAUAAAUCAGCGAGGUCAUCCAAUGCAGGUGAAAUGUCUCUUUUCCAACCUCCGUGAGGUAGUUCGGCAAAAAGCCUUUUUUUAUCAUAUCUAGCAGUGAUCUCAUUAAUCGCAUUGUUAAUCUUUUUCGCACCGCCACCCCAAGCAGCAAUGGUCGUCCCUACAUCCCAUAUACAGUUGACUCCAUUCAUCACAGCCUCAUUGAAGUGGCGGCAUUCAUCCUGGAUGUUAUAGAAGUUGAGGGCUGCAUCAACUGUCCGAUAGGCCACAACUGCCACCCAGAACCACCAAUAUCUUUUGGAUAACUUGGGUGAUGACAAAUUGGGUGUAACACAAUAAUCUGCUAUAAUGCUCCCGUUUGAAGCUAGCCUAUAAGCUUCCACUGGUUGAGUAUCAUUGGAAUAUAGAACGGCUUUCUCUAUCGUAAAAGGACACUCUUCUUGAGCGGUGACGCCUUUAAUAAGCGAAGCGCUGAAAAUGAUCAUAGCUGCGAUUAAAGCAGCAACGCACAAUCGCAUCCAGAAUACUAGUCGAUUUAUCUCUCGGGGUGUUGGGCUAAAUUCAUCCAUGGUGGUCGUUGAGCACGUGGAGAAACCCUUAUGCUUGGACGAGCUGUCGAUACCAUUCGUUUUUAUACAGAGUCUUGAAAGUUUCCUUAGUAUAUGUGCUUAAAAUGCUACUGUUGAGCUUUUAAAGGCAACCUGCUGGAUUUCCCAGCAUCUUACGGGAGAGUAUUUCACCGUACAUCGAUUUGUAUAAUCGUUAGUCGUUUGAGGCUAAAACUUGUACUUAACAUGUGAAAUUCGUAAUACUUGGAGCCUAUGUCGCACGAGACGAAUUUUGUUGAAUAUUUAGUAAUUUCUAGGUCAAAACUUCGCCCUGUGCUGGAUGCAAAAG
rnacentral:lncRNA from 1 species